rnacentral:rRNA from 1 species
AGUGAACGCUGGCGGCGUGCCUAAUACAUGCAAGUCGAACGAUGAAGCUCUAGCUUGCUAGAGUGGAUUAGUGGCGCACGGGUGAGUAAUGCAUAGAUAACAUGCCCUUUAGUCUAGGAUAGCCAUUGGAAACGAUGAUUAAUACUGGAUACUCCUUACGAGGGAAAGUUUUUCGCUAAAGGAUUGGUCUAUGUCCUAUCAGCUUGUUGGUGAGGUAAUGGCUCACCAAGGCUAUGACGGGUAUCCGGCCUGAGAGGGUGAACGGACACACUGGAACUGAGACACGGUCCAGACUCCUACGGGAGGCAGCAGUAGGGAAUAUUGCUCAAUGGGGGAAACCCUGAAGCAGCAACGCCGCGUGGAGGAUGAAGGUUUUCGGAUUGUAAACUCCUUUUGUUAGAGAAGAUAAUGACGGUAUCUAACGAAUAAGCACCGGCUAACUCCGUGCCAGCAGCCGCGGUAAUACGGAGGGUGCAAGCGUUACUCGGAAUCACUGGGCGUAAAGAGCGCGUAGGCGGGAUAGCAAGUCAGAUGUGAAAUCCUAUGGCUUAACCAUAGAACUGCAUUUGAAACUGUUAUUCUAGAGUAUGGGAGAGGUAGGUGGAAUUCUUGGUGUAGGGGUAAAAUCCGUAGAGAUCAAGAGGAAUACUCAUUGCGAAGGCGACCUGCUAGAACAUAACUGACGCUGAUGCGCGAAAGCGUGGGGAGCAAACAGGAUUAGAUACCCUGGUAGUCCACGCCCUAAACGAUGAAUGCUAGUUGUUGUGGAGCUUGUCUCUGCAGUAAUGCAGCUAACGCAUUAAGCAUUCCGCCUGGGGAGUACGGUCGCAAGAUUAAAACUCAAAGGAAUAGACGGGGACCCGCACAAGCGGUGGAGCAUGUGGUUUAAUUCGAAGAUACACGAAGAACCUUACCUAGGCUUGACAUUGAUAGAAUCCGCUAGAGAUAGUGGAGUGCUAGCUUGCUAGAACUUGAAAACAGGUGCUGCACGGCUGUCGUCAGCUCGUGUCGUGAGAUGUUGGGUUAAGUCCCGCAACGAGCGCAACCCUCGUCCUUAGUUGCUAACUAUUCGGUAGAGCACUCUAAGGAGACUGCCUUCGCAAGGAGGAGGAAGGUGAGGAUGACGUCAAGUCAUCAUGGCCCUUACGCCUAGGGCUACACACGUGCUACAAUGGGAAGCACAAAGAGAUGCAAUAUUGUGAAAUGGAGCAAAUCUAUAAAACUUCUCUCAGUUCGGAUUGUAGUCUGCAACUCGACUACAUGAAGCUGGAAUCGCUAGUAAUCGUAAAUCAGCUAUGUUACGGUGAAUACGUUCCCGGGUCUUGUACUCACCGCCCGUCACACCAUGGGAGUUGUAUUCGCCUUAAGUCGGAAUGCCAAACUGGCUACCGCCCACGGCGGAUGCAGCGACUGGGGUG